GCCUCUGGUUCUUACCAAUGAUAAGUUAUAUGUAAGAUGCUCUUCAUUAUUCUCUUGGAGGAAGAAGCUCAGGAAGAUUAAGGACACAACAACUAUGAUAUAUUUCCAUAGGCAAUGACGCAUGGUGCUGGGGCCUGGAGGAGCUCUGCAAAGAAAUGUGAGCGGGAUAUGAAUCUUAAGUGCUUCCAGCUUACAGAAGCAUAAGGAUGUCCUCCUCCUACCAGGAAGCCUCCCACAUCCUUUCCCCCUUCCCUCCGCCGCCGAAUUAUUUCCAUAGUCUUUUCUCCACGCACUUCAACCCUCCCUCCUGCUUGUAGCCAUCUAUGGAGAGACAAAGGUCAAGGAGUUUGAUUCUCUUCCACUUCUACCAUCUUCACCUCCUGUCUGGGUUUCCAGGUAAAAUUGGAGGAGCUUCUUUUGUUUAUCCACUCUUGGAGUAGAGACCCAACCACAGCGGAUGCGUUGCCAAGAAGAGGAAAUCAAGGGUUAGGCAUUAAUCAUAUUUUUCCCUAAACUCUGAAUUCAAGUCAAAGACUCUACUUGGAUGUUAUUGAUCAAUAAAUAACUGUUUAUUAUUGUCUUGUCUGUUAGGUCCCUGUUUACUUUUGUGCCUGAUCAUUUCCAGGAUUACGUUAGGCAGAUUAUGAUGUUGGUCAACUCAGAGGGACCAAGAGAAACUCUUGUUGGUAUAUCUUCCCCCCCAUCCUGGACUGGACUGAUGCUGUGGUUGGAUAUUUAGAGGACAUUAUCAUCGACCAAGAGUUCUACGAGUCGCAGGGAAAUUCCAUGGACAAAUACUAUCAGGAAUUUGAAUACAGGAAUUAUAAAAUUGCUUAUGCUGCUUCUAUUGUAACAAAACAUAUUUACUUAGUAGAAAAGCAUAUGAAAGAACAGCUGCUGGAGCUUUCCUGGAUUUAACUUGGUGACUUUCACAUUACAGCCCACAAAGAUGAAAUGAUUGGUAACGUAUUUGACAGGCUGCUCCCGUUUACGGAUUCUCUGUCUUUCAAAGAAAUGUUUCUGAACUACAAAGCAGAAAAGGGAGGUACAGGAAACAACCAGUGGGCUAGUGGCUACUUCAUGGUGAACAUUAUCUUUCUGUCAUCCAGAGCACUGCAACACUAGCUUUCACCUCCAGCCAAUGGGAUUGCUUUGGACACUACAGCCCAAUAGGUUGGGAGAAGAUUAGGCUAACAAUGACAGAAGAAUAGGUCUUAGGAAACCUGAAUUUGUUUGUGCCUGCUCAUUAAUGUUAAGUAUCAAUGAAUAAUAAAACAAAUCCAGAA